ACGUAGGGUGCGAGCGUUAAUCGGAAUUACUGGGCGUAAAGCGUGCGCAGGCGGUUCACUAAGUCAGAUGUGAAAUCCCGGGGCUUAACCUGGGAAUUGCAUUUGAAACUGGCGGGCUGGAGUACUGUAGAGGGGGGUAGAAUUCCAGGUGUAGCGGUGAAAUGCGUAGAGAUGUGGAGGAACACCGGUGGCGAAGGCAGCCCCCUGGGCCGAUACUGACGCUCA
rnacentral:rRNA from 1 species